GCAUCGGUAGUGCAGUUGGUUGGCACGCACUCCGGAAUGGGUGAAAUGCGGGUUCGAGUCUCGUCCGAUGCA